UUUUUAUCCCUUGGCCUUAUGUGUAGAUAUGAAUUUUUUAUUGAUCAGUUUUGCAGGAAAGGAAACCUUACGAUGUCUUGCUCUAGCCUUGAAAAGGAUGCCCAUGGGUCAUCAAAUUGUGUCCUUCGACGAUGAAAAGGAUCUUACAUUUGUUGGGUCGGAAUGCUUGAUCCACCAAGAGAAGAAGUAAGAAAUGCUUUACUUUCAUGCAUGACAGCUCAGGGGAUAACAAGAGUACUGCAGAAUCACUGUGUCAAAAGAUAGGUGCUUUCGAUCACAUGGGAGAUUUUGGUGGAUACUCCUUACACUGCUUCUGAGUUUGAAGAGCUUCCAGCACUACAAAAAGCAAUGGCAUUACAACGCAUGACACUGUUCACCCAGGUUGAGCCAUCUCAUAAAAAGGAUGCUGGUUGAAGCAUUACAACACCAAAAUGAAGUGGUAGGUCUCCUGAGUCUCAGUUAUCAGAAUGAUUGUAUGAUCCUGACGUCCAGUAGGUCUGAGUGGGAGACAAAAUGUACAUCAGCUGAAGGGUCAUUCCCCUAGCACAAACAAAUUGUUGCAAGCACAGCAAGACUGUUCGCACAACAUCUAAAGACUAUAAGCCUAAAAACAGAACUUUUUUUAAUCCUAAACUUUGUACUGAAUUGAUAUAAAUAUAAAUAUCUUUUGUUUUGUGUUCUAAAAAAAAAAAAAAAAAACUGACAUCAUGGUACACUAACGACUUUUAUCAAAGUGUAUCAGUACAGCAAUAUCCCACUGUUAACACGUCUGCCAAUUUGCAAAGUUAUUCUUAACCGUUCUCGAAGUAUUGAUUCUAAACCUCACAUCUUCCCCAAUAGCUUUCAUAAUCAAAGGUCCAUUUCUUUUUUGGGUGAAGAUUCUUCUAU